rnacentral:sRNA from 1 species
AAAGAGAAGCAGGUAGAUAAGGAAUUUCCAUCACUUCUCAUUCAGAGAGAAAGAUCGAGAGAGAAUAAGAUGCGUACGUGGUUCACUAAUGCAAAGCCCUAUCUGCUGUUAUUGGCCGUUCAAUUUGGCUCCGCCGGCAUGUUCAUUUUCGCCAUGGAUGCCAUGAGAAAGGGCAUGAGCCAUUACGUCUUCACCGUCUACCGUAAUCUCAUCGCCUUUCUCACUCUCUCUCCCUUUGCAUUUUUUCUUGAAAGGAAAGUUCGG